rnacentral:rRNA from 1 species
UAAGGAAUAUUGGUCAAUGGACGCAAGUCUGAACCAGCCAUGCCGCGUGAAGGAUGAAGGUCCUCUGGAUUGUAAACUUCUUUUAUAGGGGGCGAAAAAAGGGAAAUCUUUCUCACUUGACAGUACCCUAUGAAUAAGCACCGGCUAACUCCGUGCCAGCAGCCGCGGUAAUACGGAGGGUGCAAGCGUUAUCCGGAUUCACUGGGUUUAAAGGGUGCGUAGGCGGGCGUAUAAGUCAGUGGUGAAAUCCUGGAGCUUAACUCCAGAACUGCCAUUGAUACUAUAUGUCUUGAAUAUGGUGGAGGUAAGCGGAAUAUGUCAUGUAGCGGUGAAAUGCAUAGAUAUGACAUAGAACACCUAUUGCGAAGGCAGCUUACUACGCCUAUAUUGACGCUGAGGCACGAAAGCGUGGGGAUCAAACAGGAUUAGAUACCCUGGUAGUCCACGCCCUAAACGAUGAUUACUCGACGUGUGCGAUAAACGGUACGCGUCUGAGCGAAAGCAUUAAGUAAUCCCACCCUGGGGAAGUACGACCGCAAGGUUGAAACUUAAAUGAAUUGACGGGGUCAUAGCUGUUUCCUG